rnacentral:misc_RNA from 1 species
UUGUUUUGUUAAAGUUAUGACGUUCAUUACACCAUGUUUGUAAAAUUAGCCCCGAGGGGCACGGUUCACAGAGGUUUGGAAUAGUUUAAGCCCAUGAAGGGCGUUCACUAAUGAUCCUUCCGCAGGUUCACCUACGGAAA